rnacentral:rRNA from 1 species
AUUCCAAACGAACUUGGAGAUAGCUGGUUCUCUCCGAAAUAGCUUUAGGGCUAGCGUCGAUGUUAAGUCUCUUGGAGGUAGAGCACUGUUUGGGUGAGGGGUCCAUCCCGGAUUACCAAUCUCAGAUAAACUCCGAAUGCCAACGAGAUAUAAUCGGCAGUCAGACUGCGAGUGCUAAGAUCCGUAGUCGAAAGGGAAACAGCCCAGACCACCAGCUAAGGUCCCAAAAUAUAUGUUAAGUGGAAAAGGAUGUGGGGUUGCACAGACAACUAGGAUGUUAGCUUAGAAGCAGCUAUUCAUUCAAAGAGUGCGUAAUAGCUCACUAGUCGAGUGACCCUGCGCCGAAAAUGUACCGGGGCUAAAACAUAUUACCGAAGCUGUGGAUACCUUUAUAGGUAUGGUAGGAGAGCGUUCUAUGUGCGAAGAAGGUGUACCGUGAGGAGUGCUGGAGCGCAUAGAAGUGAGAAUGCCGGUAUGAGUAGCGAAAGACAGGUGAGAAUCCUGUCCACCGUAAGACUAAGGUUUCCAGGGGAAGGCUCGUCCGCCCUGGGUUAGUCGGGACCUAAGGAGAGACCGAAAGGUGUAUCCGAUGGACAACAGGUUGAUAUUCCUGUACUAGAGUAUAUAGUGAUGGAGGGACGCAGUAGGCUAACUAAACCAGACGAUUGGAAGUGUCUGGCCAAGCAGUGAGGUGUGAUAUGAGUCAAAUGCUUAUAUCUAUAACAUUGAGCUGUGAUGGGGAGCGAAGUUUAGUAGCGAAGUUAGUGAUGUCACACUGCCGAGAAAAGCUUCUAGCGUUAAUUAUACUCUACCCGUACCGCAAACCGACACAGGUAGUCGAGGCGAGUAGCCUCAGGUGAGCGAGAGAACUCUCGUUAAGGAACUCGGCAAAAUGGCCCCGUAACUUCGGGAGAAGGGGCGCUGACUUAUGGUCAGCCGCAGUGAAUAGGCCCAAGCAACUGUUUAUCAAAAACACAGCUCUCUGCUAAAUCGUAAGAUGAUGUAUAGGGGGUGACGCCUGCCCGGUGCUGGAAGGUUAAGAGGAGUGCUUAGCAAUAGCGAAGGUAUGAAUUGAAGCCCCAGUAAACGGCGGCCGUAACUAUAACGGUCCUAAGGUAGCGAAAUUCCUUGUCGGGUAAGUUCCGACCCGCACGAAAGGCGUAAUGAUUUGGGCACUGUCUCAACGAGAGACUCGGUGAAAUUUUAGUACCUGUGAAGAUGCAGGUUACCCGCGACAGGACGGAAAGACCCCAUGGAGCUUUACUGCAGUUUGAUAUUGAGUAUCUGUACCACAUGUACAGGAUAGGUAGGAGCCUAUGACCUCGGGACGCCAGUUUCGAGUGAGGCGUUGUUGGGAUACUACCCUUGUGUUAUGGCUACUCUAACCCAGAUAGGUUAUCCCUAUCGGAGACAGUGUCUGACGGGCAGUUUGACUGGGGCGGUCGCCUCCUAAAAGGUAACGGAGGCGCCCAAAGGUUCCCUCAGAAUGGUUGGAAAUCAUUCGCAGAGUGUAAAGGUAUAAGGGAGCUUGACUGCGAGAGCUACAACUCGAGCAGGGACGAAAGUCGGGCUUAGUGAUCCGGUGGUUCCGCAUGGAAGGGCCAUCGCUCAACGGAUAAAAGCUACCCUGGGGAUAACAGGCUUAUCUCCCCCAAGAGUUCACAUCGACGGGGAGGUUUGGCACCUCGAUGUCGGCUCAUCGCAUCCUGGGGCUGUAGUCGGUCCCAAGGGUUGGGCUGUUCGCCCAUUAAAGCGGUACGCGAGCUGGGUUCAGAACGUCGUGAGACAGUUCGGUCCCUAUCCGUCGCGGGCGUAGGAAAUUUGAGAGGAUCUGCUCCUAGUACGAGAGGACCAGAGUGGACUUACCGCUGGUGUACCAGUUGUUCUGCCAAGAGCAUCGCUGGGUAGCUAUGUAGGGAAGGGAUAAACGCUGAAAGCAUCUAAGUGUGAAGCCCACCUCAAGAUGAGAUUUCCCAUGAUUUU